AGAGUUUGAUCAUGGCUCAGAAUCAACGCUGGCGGCGCGCUUAACACAUGCAAGUCGCACGAGAAAGCCCGCAAGGGUGAGUAAAGUGGCGCACGGGUGAGUAACACGUGGAUCAUCUACCUUCUAGUGGGGAAUAACCCUGGGAAACCGGGGCUAAUACCGCAUAAGUCCGGGAGGAGAAAGCCGAAAGGCGCUGGAAGAGGAGUCCGCGGUCGAUUAGCUAGUUGGUAGGGUAAGAGCCUACCAAGGCAUUGAUCGAUAGCCGGCCUGAGAGGGCACACGGCCACACUGGCACUGAAACACGGGCCAGACUCCUACGGGAGGCAGC
rnacentral:rRNA from 1 species